CUCUGUCCCCACCCCUAGGGAAACUAACAACUUGCACAAGACCUUUCAGCCAGUAAAGGCUGCAGUCAACUUUGGGAACCUGGUUACUACACACUUGCUGCUUAUUUUGUUUGCUGUUAUAGAUGAUGUUGCAAUUAAUAUCUUUAUACUUCACUCUUGGGGCAUGCUCUGUAGCAUUUGUACAUGAGCAAUUAUGAAAUGCUUGCUCAGGACAGUUCUCUCAUUUUAAUGAAAAUUAUGAAGUUGUCUGCAAGCCUUCAACGAACAGACUUCCCAAGAAGACAGGACAUCAAAGGAUGAUGGAAAGAAGUCUGAAUAUUCACGGUCCAAGGGCUGGCAAGCUGUGCAUGCCAGGGGCAGAGACUGUUUGCUUUAAGAAACUUGGUAGGAAAAGUUACAGGAGACAAAUGGAAAGGACAUAUGAAGUCAGACCAAAAAACUGAGGAAAAACUUUAAUGACAACUCAAGAUCUGACAAAGAUUGUACAAGAGCAAGCAGUAGAAUCAAAAUGUCUUUGCUCAUGGUAUCCACAAUGUUCUUCUUGCAUUUAAAUUUCUUCAAGUAAAAAGAAAUAUAUUCAUUCUUUGCUCAUUAUGGUCCCAGCAGAUAGUACUUAUAUUUCUUACUAAAACUCUUCAAGUAGUGCAAAAAAGAAGAUGGACUGAGAAAAACCAAGCCAUAAAAGUGUUAUCUAUCAGCAGUUUUGUUAAAAAGCCAUCAUUAAGAAAGAAAAAAUGUAAAUUGUAGAAAUGAGGUCACAAUUUAAUUGAUAUAAAUUGCAGCCACCUGCUCAUCCCAUUUCCAGGAGAAAGAGUUUUAUGUAUGCAAUAAAGCAAUUUCUUUAGGAGAAA
rnacentral:lncRNA from 1 species